AUUGAACGCUGGCGGCAUGCCUUACACAUGCAAGUCGAACGGCAGCACGGGUGCUUGCACCUGGUGGCGAGUGGCGAACGGGUGAGUAAUACAUCGGAACAUGUCCUGUAGUGGGGGAUAGCCCGGCGAAAGCCGGAUUAAUACCGCAUACGAUCUACGGAUGAAAGCGGGGGACCUUCGGGCCUCGCGCUAUAGGGUUGGCCGAUGGCUGAUUAGCUAGUUGGUGGGGUAAAGGCCUACCAAGGCGACGAUCAGUAGCUGGUCUGAGAGGACGACCAGCCACACUGGGACUGAGACACGGCCCAGACUCCUACGGGAGGCAGCAGUGGGGAAUUUUGGACAAUGGGCGAAAGCCUGAUCCAGCAAUGCCGCGUGUGUGAAGAAGGCCUUCGGGUUGUAAAGCACUUUUGUCCGGAAAGAGAUCCUUGGCCCUAAUACGGUCGGGGGAUGACGGUACCGGAAGAAUAAGCACCGGCUAACUACGUG
rnacentral:rRNA from 1 species